rnacentral:rRNA from 1 species
CAGUAGCCGCGGUAAUACGUAGGUGGCAAGCGUUGUCCGGAAUUAUUGGGCGUAGAGGGCUCGCAGGCGGUUUCUUAAGUCUGAUGUGAAAGCCCCCGGCUCAACCGGGGAGGGUCAUUGAAACUGGGAAACUCGAGUGCAGAAGAGGAGAGUGGAAUUCCACGUGUAGCGGUGAAAUGCGUAGAGAUGUGGAGGAACACCAGUGGCGAAGGCGACUCUCUGGUCUGUAACUGACGCUGAGGAGCGAAAGCGUGGGGAGCGAACAGGAUUAGAGACCCCAGUAGUCCCUGUCUCUUAUACA